CACAGAUUACUCUGUCCCCUCAAGCUUUGCCUGCCCGGAGCUCCUCUGCUCCCGGCGGCCAGAACCGAGGGGUAGAGUAGCGCUUGGUGGCCCAGGGGGCGGGCGGCCUUGGCCGUCCUGGUGCCGCGCGAGGC